rnacentral:sRNA from 1 species
GAUAGCGCGGAGCACGCAGGAGCGAGCGGAGCGUGGGCGGCGGCGUCGGACCUCGGGCUGCGGGAGCGCGGGCGCCCUGGGGUCCUCGGAAUCACAAUGAGGACCUAGGGCAUCUGCCUGCUGACGCCCCCUGGCCUGCAGUGACCAUGGCCCCCCGCAAGAGGAGCCGCCAUGGCCUGGGCUUCCUGUGCUGCUUCGGGGGCAGUGACAUCCCCGAAAUCAACCUCCGGGACAACCACCCUCUGCAGUUCAUGGAGUUCUCCAGCCCCAUCCCGAACGCAGAGGAGCUCAACAUCCGCUUUGCAGAGCUGGUGGAUGAAUUGGAUCUCACUGACAAAAACCGAGAGGCUAUGUUUGCACUGCCCCCUGAGAAGAAAUGGCAGAUCUACUGCAGCAAGAAGAAGGAGCAGGAGGACCCCAACAAGCUGGCGACCAGCUGGCCUGACUAUUACAUCGACCGCAUCAACUCCAUGGCUGCGAUGCAGAGUCUGUACGCGUUUGAUGAGGAGGAGACGGAGAUGAGGAACCAAGUCGUGGAAGACCUGAAGACAGCCCUCCGGACACAGCCUAUGAGGUUUGUGACUCGCUUCAUUGAGCUGGAGGGCUUGACCUGUCUGCUAAAUUUCCUCCGGAGCAUGGACCACGCCACCUGUGAGAGCCGCAUCCACACCUCACUCAUCGGCUGCAUCAAAGCAUUGAUGAACAACUCCCAGGGGCGGGCACAUGUGCUGGCACAGCCUGAGGCCAUUAGUACCAUAGCCCAGAGCCUACGCACAGAGAACAGCAAGACCAAGGUGGCUGUGCUGGAGAUCCUGGGUGCUGUGUGCCUCGUGCCUGGCGGCCACAAGAAGGUGCUGCAAGCCAUGCUGCACUACCAGGUGUAUGCAGCAGAGCGAACCCGCUUCCAGACCCUGCUGAAUGAGCUAGACCGAAGUCUGGGCCGGUACCGGGAUGAAGUGAAUCUGAAAACAGCCAUCAUGUCCUUCAUCAAUGCUGUCCUCAAUGCUGGAGCUGGAGAGGAUAAUCUGGAGUUCCGCCUACAUCUACGGUAUGAAUUCCUGAUGCUGGGGAUACAGCCUGUGAUUGACAAGCUCCGGCAACAUGAAAAUGCCAUCCUGGACAAACAUUUAGACUUCUUCGAGAUGGUGCGGAAUGAGGAUGACUUGGAGCUAGCCAGGAGGUUUGACAUGGUCCACAUCGACACCAAGAGUGCUUCCCAGAUGUUCGAGCUGAUCCACAAGAAGCUGAAGUACACGGAGGCCUACCCCUGCCUGCUCUCUGUGCUGCACCACUGCCUGCAGAUGCCCUACAAACGGAACGGUGGCUACUUCCAGCAGUGGCAGCUCCUGGACCGCAUCCUCCAGCAGAUUGUCCUCCAGGAUGAGCGGGGUGUGGACCCUGACCUGGCUCCCUUGGAGAACUUCAAUGUCAAGAACAUCGUCAACAUGCUCAUCAACGAGAAUGAAGUGAAACAGUGGCGAGACCAGGCAGAGAAGUUCCGGAAAGAACAUAUGGAGCUUGUGAGCCGUCUGGAGAGGAAGGAGCGGGAAUGCGAGACAAAGACGUUGGAGAAGGAAGAGAUGAUGCGAACGCUGAACAAAAUGAAGGACAAGCUGGCCCGGGAGUCUCAGGAGCUGCGCCAGGCUCGGGGACAAGUGGCAGAGCUGGUAGCCCAGCUCAGUGAACUCUCAACAGGCCCUGUAUCUUCCCCACCACCCCCUGGGGGCCCACUCACCUUGUCUUCCUCAAUGACAACCAAUGACCUGCCUCCACCCCCUCCUCCUCUGCCCUUCGCCUGUUGUCCCCCUCCCCCACCACCACCCCUUCCUCCUGGGGGACCCCCGACUCCCCCAGGUGCCCCACCUUGCCUCGGCAUGGGCCUGCCCCUCCCUCAGGACCCCUACCCCAGCAGUGACGUCCCACUCAGGAAAAAGCGUGUCCCACAGCCUUCUCACCCACUGAAGUCCUUCAACUGGGUGAAGCUGAAUGAGGUGAGCAUCUGGGAAGGGGCUGGUGGGCCCAUUCUUCUACAGCAGGGCAGUCAGCCUCAGGGACCGCCCGCCCCUUGUUUGUAGAUCUCCACUCCGGGUCCUUUCUUUGGUGGGGGGUAAGGGCAGUCAUGUGGAUGUACAAAGUGGAUUUGCUGUGCCAGGCAGCUCACAGUCAGAACACCUACCCUGGGAGAGACGCUUGACAUGGGGCAAUGCUCACGUUGACAAAGUCAUCUACAAAUGGAAUUUGUGUUUGCCCAGGGUUAAUGGAGUCACAGGCAAGACAAACACUGAGUAGAAUUCAAGGACAGGGUCCAUUUGAAGGAAAGGAUGGAAAAAUAAGCAAAGAGCUUGGGCCAGCAUCUAGGUUUUGGUAAAGAUCAGGGCAAUGUAUACAAAGGACUAAAGAGUUUGAUGGCAAGACAUAGCUAUUUUGGCAUCUUCCUGGGGCAAGUUGCACACACUGGCCUCAUGUCUGGACCAGCAGUGAGAGAUCCUCAUGAGUAUUAUCCACUAAUAAUCACCAAUCCCAGAACCACA